rnacentral:rRNA from 1 species
UUGGAAGUAAAAGUCGUAACAAGGUCUCCGUUGGUGAACCAGCGGAGGGAUCAUUACAGGACUCGCAAGACUCCUACAACCCUGUGAACUUAACUAUAAGCACGUUGCUUCGGCGGGUGUCUCGGCGAGGGUUCUCCCUCCCCGGGGCGCUAAGCCCGCCGGCAGCCUACUAUACUCUGUCUCUUUGCGUUGGCAUCUCGAGUACAAACAAACAAGUUAAAACUUUCAACAACGGAUCUCUUGGUUCUGGCAUCGAUGAAGAACGCAGCGAAAUGCGAUAAGUAAUGCGAAUUGCAGAAUUCCGUGAGUCAUCGAAUCUUUGAACGCACAUUGCGCCCGCCAGCAUUCUGGCGGGCAUGCCUGUUCGAGCGUCAUUUCAACCCUCAGGCCCUGCCUGGUGUUGGAGGACUGCGCACCGCAGCCUCCCAAAGCAAGCGGCGGCGGCGCCCCAUAACCGAACGCAGUAGUUACAUCUCGUUCUGGGUCUGGGUCGUUGUCCUGCCGGAAAACCCCCAUCUUUUUAAUGGUUGACCUCGAAUCAGGUAGGAAUACCCGCUGAACUUAAGCAUAUCAAUAAGCGGAGGAA